UACGUAGGGGGCAAGCGUUGUCCGGAAUUAUUGGGCGUAAAGCGCGCGCAGGCGGUCAUUUAAGUCUGGUGUAUAAACCAAGGGCUCAACCUUUGGACGCAUUGGAAACUGGGUGACUGGAGUGUAGGAGAGGAAAGUGGAAUUCCACGUGUAGCGGUGAAAUGCGUAGAGAUGUGGAGGAACACCAGUGGCGAAGGCGGGUCUCUGGGCCGAUACUGACGCUGAGGAGCGAAAGCGUGGGGAGCGAACAGG
rnacentral:rRNA from 1 species